rnacentral:rRNA from 1 species
UACAGAGGUGGCAAGCGUUGUUCGGAAUUACUGGGCGUAAAGCGCGUGUAGGCUGCUUCGCAAGUCGGAUGUGAAAGCCCUGGGCUCAACCCAGGAAGUGCAUUCGAAACUGCAAAGCUGGAGUCCUGGAGAGGAAGGCGGAAUUCUCGGUGUAGAGGUGAAAUUCGUAGAUAUCGAGAGGAACACCGGUGGCGAAGGCGGCCUUCUGGACAGUGACUGACGCUGAGACGCGAAAGCGUGGGGAGCAAACAGG